rnacentral:rRNA from 1 species
UGCCAGCAGCCGCGGUAAUACGUAGGGUGCAAGCGUUAUCCGGAAUUAUUGGGCGUAAAGGGCUCGUAGGCGGUUCGUCGCGUCCGGUGUGAAAGUCCAUCGCUUAACGGUGGAUCCGCGCCGGGUACGGGCGGGCUUGAGUGCGGUAGGGGAGACUGGAAUUCCCGGUGUAACGGUGGAAUGUGUAGAUAUCGGGAAGAACACCAAUGGCGAAGGCAGGUCUCUGGGCCGUCACUGACGCUGAGGAGCGAAAGCGUGGGGAGCGAACAGGAUUAGAUACCCUGGUAGUCC